rnacentral:rRNA from 1 species
AGGACGAACGCUGGCGGCGCGCUUAACACAUGCAAGUCGAGCGAGAACCGGACCUUCGGGUCCGGGGAAAGCGGCGAACGGGUGAGUAACACGUGGGUAAUCAACCCUCGACACUGGGAUAGCCCGGGGAAACCCGGAUUAAUACCGGAUGGCCCAGCAGCUCUUCGGGGCGGCUGGAAAAGGUAGCUUCGGCCUCCGGUCGAGGACGAGCCCGCGGCGGAUUAGCUUGUUGGUGGGGUAACGGCCCACCAAGGCGACGAUCCGUAGCUGGUCUGAGAGGACGAUCAGCCACACUGGGACUGAGACACGGCCCAGACUCCUACGGGAGGCAGCAGUGGGGAAUCUUGCACAAUGGGCGAAAGCCUGAUGCAGCGACGCCGCGUGAGGGAAGAAGGCUUUCGGGUUGUAAACCUCUUUCAGGUGGGACGAAGCCACUCGGGUUAAUAGCCAGAGGGUGACGGUACGCCAGGAGAAGCCCGGCUAACUACGUGCCAGCAGCCGC